CGUUUGGGUCUUACGCAACAGAAAUCUGUGAACCGUGUCAGGACAGGAAUGUAGCAGCACUAAGCAGAACCUUCUGUGUGCCGUGAGGGUGCCUGGGCCGAGU
rnacentral:SRP_RNA from 1 species